GACGAACGCUGGCGGCGUGCUUAACACAUGCAAGUCGAACGGGCUGCCUGGUUUUCGGAUCGGGUGGUGAGUGGCGAACGGGUGAGGAACACGUGAGUAACCUGCCCCUCUCUUUGGGAUAACGUCGGGAAAUCGGCGCUAAUACCGGGUAUUCUGGCUUCCUCGCAUGGGGUUGUUGGGAAUGGUUUUUUCUGGUGGGGGAUGGGCUCGCGGCCUAUCAGCUUGUUGGUGGGGUGAUGGCCUACCAAGGCGGUGACGGGUAGCCGGCCUGAGAGGGUGUCAGGCAACACUGGGACUGAGACACGGCCCAGACUCCUACGGGAGGCAGCAGUGGGGAAUAUUGAACAAUGGGCAGAAGCAUGAUGCAGCGAAGCCGCGUGGGGGAUGACGGCAUUCGGGUUGUAAACAUCUUUCAGUGCAGAACAAGGCUCUUUGUGGGUUGAGGGUAUGCGCAGAAGAAGCGCCGGCUAACUACGUG
rnacentral:rRNA from 1 species